GUGAAUCAUCAAAUCUUUGAACGCAAAUUGCACUCUCCUCGGAGAGUAUGCCUGUUUGAGGGUCAGCCUAUAUAAAACGAUAUCGUUGCUGUCUUGUGGUGCGUUCGUCGGAAAGCGGGUCAUUUUAAAUACUAUUGAUUGAGGCGCCUUAAAAUCUUCUUCUGGUGCCAUGAACGUUUCUACGAUUUAUUUCUUUACAUGUUUAAGGUAUCGACUUUUAUUAGACGUUACCAUCAUAUCGGAUCGGGAUAAUAAUGUUUCAUAAACGGACCUUAGACAGGUAAGA
rnacentral:misc_RNA from 1 species